rnacentral:rRNA from 1 species
GAUGAACGCUAGCGGCAGGCUUAACACAUGCAAGUCGAGGGGCAGCAUGAUGAAACUUUCGGGUUUCAUUGAUGGCGACCGGCGCAAGGGUGCGUAACGCGUGAGCAACUUGCCCUUAUCAGGGGGAUAACCGGUGGAAACGCCGACUAAUACCCCAUAGCAUCACUUUAAGGCAUCUUUUAGUGAUUAAAGAAUUUCGGAUAAGGAUGGGCUCGCGUGACAUUAGCUAGAUGGCGGGGUAACGGCCCACCAUGGCGACGAUGUCUAGGGGUUCUGAGAGGAAGGUCCCCCACACUGGACUGAGACACGGUCCAGACUCCUACGGGAGGCAGCAGUGAGGAAUAUUGGUCAAUGGCCGAGAGGCUGAACCAGCCAUGCCGCGUGAAGGUCACGGCCCUAUGGGUCUUAAACUUCUUUUGUAAGGGAGCAAUAAGGUUCACGUGCGGACUGAUGAGAGUACCUUACGAAUAAGCAUCGGCUAACUCCGUGCCAGCA